rnacentral:lncRNA from 1 species
CAGCGAUUUGUUGAUGGAUAAAAAAAUUAUUUCUAGUCAAGUUUGAUUUGAAUUUUCCUUAUGGUUUCAGAAGAGAUUUUUACAGAACAGUACAAGACGACUAACGCUGACGACGGUUGCGAGACGACUCAGACAAGUAAUGGCAAUAGCUCACCUUGACCUGGUGAUACAAAAAUUCACAUGAAUAAAAAUCAUAAAUUUUAUUAAUGGA